rfam:Vigna angularis cultivar Jingnong 6 scaffold322_35, whole genome shotgun sequence.
AUACCUUUCUCGGCCUUUUGGCUAAGAUCAAGUGUAGUAUCUGUUCUUAUCAGUUUAAUAUCUGAUAUGUGGGCCAAUGGUCCACACGAUAUUAAAUUAAUUUUUUGAAGGGGAAAGUCCACAACGGUAGCUUGCUACUGGGACCUUCAAGUGUCGCCCUGGUGUUGCACUAUAGCCUGGGCUGGCACACCCUCU